GAUGAACGCUGGCGGCGUGCCUAAUACAUGCAAGUCGAGCGAACAGAUGAGAAGCUUGCUUCUCUGAUGUUAGCGGCGGACGGGUGAGUAACACGUGGGUAACCUACCUAUAAGACUGGGAUAACUCCGGGAAACCGGGGCUAAUACCGGAUAAUAUUUUGAACCGCAUGGUUCAAUAGUGAAAGACGGUUUCGGCUGUCACUUAUAGAUGGACCCGCGCCGUAUUAGCUAGUUGGUAAGGUAACGGCUUACCAAGGCGACGAUACGUAGCCGACCUGAGAGGGUGAUCGGCCACACUGGAACUGAGACACGGUCCAGACUCCUACGGGAGGCAGCAGUAGGGAAUCUUCCGCAAUGGGCGAAAGCCUGACGGAGCAACGCCGCGUGAGUGAUGAAGGUCUUCGGAUUGUAAAACUCUGUUGUUAGGGAAGAACAAAUUUGUUAGUAACUGAACAAGUCUUGACGGUACCUAACCAGAAAGCCACGGCUAACUACGUGCCAGCCGCCGCGGUAACAC
rnacentral:rRNA from 1 species